CGACCCAGGAUCCAGCAUCUACUCCUGCUUCUGCUCUUGCCUUUAUAGGUCUGUGGCUGCAGGAGUGCCUGGGUGUGCUGUGCCUUCAGCCUUACCAGGCUACAUGGGCUGGAGGUGCAGAGAUGCGCUUUUCACUGGGAACAAGAGGCAGGAACGAGCUGCUGUGCUGAAUCUGUACCCCCUACCAAGUAGAGAGGGGACAGGAUGAAAAGGAGCUGGAGACCAGUUAAGUUAACUGCACUGCCCCUCUGCAGCGCUGUAUACAGAAAACUCACAUUCAGAGCCAUAAUAAUAUGUUUCCCUCAGCUGCAAUGUUCAAGUAAGGCUGAUCGUGCUGUCUUAUACAAGGACAUUCAUGAAGUCAGGAGGAAUAGUUCAAGCAGCGCAGCUGCAGAUAUUUCCAUCAAAAUACACUGGACUGAGAGCGCUCUUUGAGAAGAUCUCGUGGAAGACAAGGAAAUAUUUUGCACACAGAGCAGAAACCACUCUUCAUCAACAGAGAGAGUAAUACCUGCAUUACUCUGCUUCCCUCUUUCUUUUAUCUUUGUCUCCUUUAGGAGUUCAUGCUUUGCUGCUACAUUCAAAUGGCUGCAAAGGUAAAUAUGGCUAUUACUGCAUAAAUCCAUAAUGCACACAAGGCAAUGUGCAGUUUGAAAACACAAAGAGAGGUAACAACAACCACCAUGAAAGGCUAUCUCUGAAAUCCCAAACCCCAGACUCUUCAUUCUUCUUCGAUCUCCCUGACUCAGGGUUGUGGCUUUUCAGGAUGUCCACAGAUUAAAACUACUUUUUCAAGUGCUUCAAGAUCCACUAAGGAUUUAUUUUCUGGCAAAUUGUAUGCUGUUGCUACCAGAGAUUAAUAAUAAUAUUGGAAAUAUUUAAUAAUUUGGUAAUUGUCUGAUUUGUUACUAGUAUUUGAAUCACCUGACCACACUUAGAGAUUAGAAAUGUAUUUUUCCUCAAGAUAAUUUAUAUUUGUAUUCACAGUCUGAGGAAACGCCACCUAUUCCUGCAGCAGUAAAUCAGAAACCAUUUACCCUGCCAAUACGGUUAGACAAUGUUUACGUGCAGGACUACACUCAUUGUUUGACUAAUCCGUAAGGGGUAGAUUUUCUAUUGCAUUUCAAUAGCUCAUCUACUUCAGAUUGUUGUGAACUUUCUAAAGAUGUGUUUUCACUUAUAAUAACAGAUCUUGGAGUGUAGUAAUCUGGAA